CAGCCGCCGCGGUAAUACAGAGGGUGCGAGCGUUAAUCGGAUUUACUGGGCGUAAAGCGUGCGUAGGCGGCUUUUUAAGCCGGAUGUGAAAUCCCUGAGCUUAACUUAGGAAUUGCAUUCGAUACUGGGAAGCUAGAGUAUGGGAGAGGAUGGUAGAAUUCCAGGUGUAGCGGUGAAAUGCGUAGAGAUCUGGAGGAAUACCGAUGGCGAAGGCAGCCAUCUGGCCUAAUACUGACGCUGAGGUACGAAAGCAUGGGGAGCAAACAGAAUUAGAUACCCCUGUAGUCCCUGUCUCUUAUAC
rnacentral:rRNA from 1 species